UGCGGCAAAAAACGUGCGAAUAUAGUUAUAAAACAAAUGAGACGAAUACAAAUAAAGCUGCGAAACGGGUUCUUCGAAUUCUAUUAAGCUGGCGGCGAUUAUAAUUUCGCUUUAGUGCUUCCAAUAAGUUUUGACAUUGACCUCGUUUCGAAAGAAUCCAUAUAUUGUACCCCGAUUGACAUCGCAUUUUUACUUUCGCUUUCAUCUGGAGGAAUCUGGUUGAGCGCCAUACCGGGAAUCGUAUCUCGUGUUCUAUCUCCCUCUAUGGGAAGUACACUAAUCUAAUCCGAUCCGAACCAAAUCAAUCUAAUCGAAACCGUUUUGCCAACGGCCUUCAACCCGAACGAUGAAUGGAACUGCGGGCAAUGUCGUUGGAUAUGCAUAGCGGAGGUGAGGGGCGUCCGAGAAGGGUUCCAAUAGAACAUGUGUUAACCCUUGGCGGCGUCCCUGCCGUUUGUUAUGCAUUUGUUUUUAGUACGCCUUAUAUAAUCCAAUUGCUGAAUUCCGUAAACAUCGAUCGAUCGAUCGACCGGUUGAUUGGAAGAAGUGAGAUGCAGCAGCCGACCGGAGAACUUUGAUUCCGUGCAAUUCAUUUUACUGGCGCUUCUUCAAUCAAGGCGGUAAAUUUCCGUGCGUCUUCGAUUGGCUGGCCCAGGGGCUGCAGGGGGUUAAGGCAAAGGUGUAACGAUCACGAAUGCGGUGCGCUUUACGAUAUAUGGUGCUCGGAGUACUCAUGCUACGCUCAAGAAUUCGAUGCGAUGGGCACGUGCGGGCUUCAAAUCAAGUCGAAACCCGAAUUCCGGGACGCGGCCGGAUCCUUGAACCUGAUCGAACCACUUCCUGCCGGUGGAAACCCCCGGGCACAGCCCUUUUUUAUACUAUACAUGCAUCUCAGUACCCAUGUCAUGACGCAAUCGGCGUUACGAAUCCGGCAUUGUACUCUUAAAAUACACUUGAAUAGCCGACAGGGGAAAAAUAAAUAAAUUAACUAUCUUUGAAUGAUGAA